GGCUCGCGAGUGAGGGUCGCCGGCGCCGUUUCGGCGGCGCGGGAGGAAAGUCCGAGCUCCGCAGGGCAGGACGCCGGGUAACGCCCGGGCGCCGUGAGGCGAUGGAGAGUGCCACAGAGAGGAGACCGCCGAUGGCCCGCAUCCGCGCGAGCGGAGGUGGGCACAGGCAAGGGUGAAAGGGUGCGGUAAGAGCGCACCGGGCCGCCGGCAACGGUCGGUCGCACGGUAAACCCCGUCCGGAGCAAGACCAAAUAGGGGACGAGGAGCGGCCCGCUCCGUCCGAGUCCCGGGUAGGUUGCUGGAGGGCGGUCGAGAGGCCGUCCGUAGAGGAAUGACCCUCCUCCGCGCCCCGUCAGGGGAUGGCGGAGACAGAACUCGGCUUAUUCGCGAGCCGUCC
rnacentral:RNase_P_RNA from 1 species